UCCCUUCAACUACAGUAUCUCUGUGGGACCAAAAAAGUCUGUUUGCAUAGUGAGGAUACUUUGCAUUGGCAGCACAUGCUUCAGUGCUCUGGGAGUGUUUAUAGCCCUGUGAGUUUAACACUUAACGACUGAGAGCUGUCCUUCAUGACAACAGAACCCACAACAACCAUGACUUUUAUCACCAUCUUCAUCUGGAUACUGGCACUCUGCUUUCAAGAAUCCAGAGGACAGAUCACUGUGACUCAGACUCCUGUAGUGAAAGCUGUUCUCCCAGGACAGUCAGUCUCUCUGAACUGUAAAACCAGCAGUAAUGUGCAUGUGAAUGUGAAUGGAAAUAACCGUCUAGCCUGGUAUCAACAGAAAGCUGGAGGAGCUCCUAAACUCCUUAUUUACUAUGCUACAACACUUCAGUCUGGGACUCCAUCUAGAUUCAGUGGUAGUGGAUCUGGGAGUGACUUCACUCUGACCAUCAGUGGAGUCCAGGCUGAAGAUGCAGGAGAUUACUACUGUCAGAGUUUCCACAAUCCCAACAGUGUCUGGGUGUUCACACAGUGAUACAGAGCCGUACAAAAACCUCCCUCAGUCAGACUGUACACUGACUGUACUGAUACAGCUGAGACCUACUGCAGGUGCUGAGGAGGAAGAGACAGUGACAUGGAACACUGACUGAACUAAAAUACACUGAGCUAAAUAUGUCAGUGAUGCUGACAUUAUGUCAACUCUUUCACCCUCAUGCUAAAGCAUUCCUGAACUGAUAACACUCACAGGUCCAGACUACAUAAAUAUUACUUCCCUGUUGCUAUGGCCAACAAACGUUUUCAUAACAUGUCACACAAUAAGUUGAAUGGACUCCAUCUAUAUGCAAUAGUAAUGUCUCACAUAAUUUCAGAAUAAAUGACCUAGCUUAUGUAAGGUCCCUCAGUCAGUUAUAAAUGUGGGUGCUAACCAGGAAGAUGAUUAACUUUUUUUAUUAUUCUGGAAAAUACCAUAAGCUUAUUUGAUUAGUGAUGAUCCUCUGCAUUGGCAGCACAUGUUUCAGUGCUCUGGGAGUGUUUAUAUCCCUGUGAGUUUAUCACUUCAUGACUUAGAGCUGUCCUUCAUGACAACAGAACCCACAACAACCCUGACUUUUUUCACCAUCUUCAUCUGGACACUUGCUGUCACGUUCUGACCUUUAUUUCCUUUGUUUUGUCAUGAUUUAGUAUGGUCAGGGUGUGAGUUUGGGUGGGCAGUCUAUGUUUGUUUUUCUAUGAUUUGGGUAUUUCUAUGUUUCGGCCUGGUAUGGUUCUCAAUCAGAGGCAGGUGUCAUUAGUUGUCUCUGAUUGAGAAUCAUAUUUAGGUAGCCUGGGUUUCACUGUUUGUUUGUGGGUGUUUGUUUCCGUGUCUGUGUUUUUUCACCACACGGUACUGUUUUGGUUUUCGUUCGGUUCACGGUUAUUGUUUUUGUAUCAGUUGUGUUCAUGUUGAGUAUUUCUUAUUAAAAGAACCAUGGAAACUUA